rnacentral:rRNA from 1 species
GACGAACGCUGGCGGCGUGCUUAACACAUGCAAGUCGAACGGAAAGGCCCUACUUUUGUGGGGUGCUCGAGUGGCGAACGGGUGAGUAACACGUGAGUAACCUGCCCUUGACUUUGGGAUAACUUCAGGAAACUGGGGCUAAUACCGGAUAGGAGCUCCUGCUGCAUGGUGGGGGUUGGAAAGUUUCGGCGGUUGGGGAUGGACUCGCGGCUUAUCUGCUUGUUGGUGGGGUAGUGGCUUACCAAGGCUUUGACGGCUAGCCGGCCUGGGAGGGUGACCGGCCACAGUGGGACUGGGAUACGGCCCAGAGGCCUACGGGAGGCAGCGGUGGGGAACAGUGCACAAUGGGCGGAAGCCGGAUGCAGCAACGCCGCGUGCGGGAUGACGGCCUUCGGGUUGGAAACCGCUUUCGCCUGUGACGAAGCGUGUGUGACGGUAAUGGGUAAAGAAGCACCGGCUAACUACGUG